rnacentral:rRNA from 1 species
ACAACCUGCCCUUAGGUUGGGUAUAAACCCGGGAAACUGGGUAUAAUACCCGAUAGGUCUCGAUUGCUGGAAUGCAUCGAGAUUUAAAGCUCCGGCGCCUAAGGAUGGGUCUGCGGCCUAUCAGGUAGUAGUGGGUGUAGCGUACCUACUAGCCUACGACGGGUACGGGUUGUGAGAGCAAGAGCCCGGAGAUGGAUUCUGAGACACGAAUCCAGGCCCUACGGGGUGCAGCAGGCGCGAAAACUUUACAAUGCUGGCAACAGCGAUAAGGGAACCUCGAGUGCCAGGUUACAAAUCUGGCUGUCGAGAUGCCUAAAAAGCAUUUCAUAGCAAGGGCCGGGCAAGACCGGUGCCAGCCGCCGCGGUAACACCGGCGGCUCGAGUGGUAACCGUUAUUAUUGGGUCUAAAGGGUCUGUAGCCGGCCGGAUAAGUCUCUUGAGAAAUCUGGCAGCUUAACUGUCAGGCUUUCAGGAGAUACUGUCUGGCUCGAGGCCGGGAGAGGUGAGAGGUACUUCAGGGGUAGGGGUGAAAUCUUGUAAUCCUUGAAGGACCACCAGUGGCGAAGGCGUCUCACCAGAACGGACCUGACGGCAAGGGACGAAAGCUAGGGGCACGAACCGGAUUAGAUACCCGGGUAGUCCUAGCCGUAAACGAUACUCGCUAGGUGUCGGCCACGGUGCGACCGUUGUCGGUGCCGUAGGGAAGCCGUGAAGCGAGCCACCUGGGAAGUACGGCCGCAAGGCUGAAACUUAAAGGAAUUGGCGGGGGAGCACCACAACGGGUGGAGCUUGCGGUUUAAUUGGAUUCAACGCCGGAAAUCUUACCGGGACCGACAGCAAUAUGAAGGCCAGGCUGAAGACUUUGCCGGAUUAGCUGAGAGGUGGUGCAUGGCCGUCGUCAGUUCGUACUGUGAAGCAUCCUGUUAAGUCAGGCAACGAGCGAGACCCACGCCCACAGUUGCCAGCGUACUCUCUGGAGUGACGGGUACACUGUGGGGACCGCCGCUGCUAAAGCGGAGGAAGGAAUGGGCAACGGUAGGUCAGUAUGCCCCGAAUAUCCCGGGCUACACGCGAGCUACAAUGGUUGGUACAAUGGGUAUCUACCCCGAAAGGGGACGGGAAUCUCCUAAAACCAAUCUUAGUUCGGAUUGAGGGCUGCAACUCGCCCUCAUGAAGCUGGAAUCCGUAGCAAUCGCGUUUCAACAGAACGCGGUGAAUACGUCCCUG